rnacentral:rRNA from 1 species
GAUGAACGCUGGCGGCGUGCCUAAUACAUGCAAGUCGAGCGAACGGACGAGGAGCUUGCGUCUCUGAUGUUAGCGGCGGACGGGUGAGUAACACGUGGAUAACCCACCUAUAAGACUGGGAUAACUUCGGGAAACCGGAGCUACUACCGGAUAAUAUUUUGAACCGCAUGGUGCAAAAGUGAAAGACGGUCUUGCUGUCACUUAUAGAUGGAUCCGCGCUGCAUUAGCUAGUUGGUAAGGUAACGGCUUACCAAGGCAACGAUGCAUAGCCGAGCUGAGAGAGUGAUAGGCCGCCCGAGAGCGGAGCCGGCGUCCAGAGGCCUGAGGGAGGCAGCAGUAGCGAACGGUACGCAGCGGUCGGGAACAUGACGCAGCGGCGGCGAGCGAGAGACGACGGCGUUGCGAGCGGAAUACUCUCUUACGAGGUGUAAACAUAUGUGUAAGUGGAUGUAGAGAUAGUGACGGUACCUAAUCAGAAAGCCACGGCUAACUACGUG